rnacentral:rRNA from 2 species
GGAAGGCAGCAGGCACGCAAAUUACCCACUCCCGGCUCGGGGAGGUAGUGACGAAAAAUAUCGAUGCGGGACUCACUCGAGACCCCGUCGUCGGAAUGAGUACGCUCUAAAACCCCUAACGAGGACCUACCGGAGGGCAAGACUAAUGCCAGCCGCUGCGGUAAUUUUAGCUCCGGUGGCGUAUACUAAAAUUGUUGCAGUUAAAAAGCUCGUAGUCGUAUCCCGUGCUGCGGCCGCGGGGCGACGCACUCGCGUGCUCUCCUCUGCGCGUCCCGGCACUCUGCCGUCUUUCCCGGGGCGAUUGUCAAAGGUUGUCCGGGGAGAGAAGGCGGUAGUCGCUGUGCAAAAAUUAAGGUGCUCAAGGCAGUCGAAGCGGACUGAAUAGGAAUGCACGGAACGGCGGAACUCGACCUCGAGGACGGGGGUUCUCGGACGUCCGAGAGGUGAUGAUCGAUAGGAGCAGACGGGGGCAUUCGUAUUCCGGCGCUAGAGGUGAAAUUCUUGGACCGCCGGAAGACGAGCUACUGCGAAAGCAUUUGCCAAGAAUGUUUCCUUUGACCAAGAACGAAAGUAAGAGGCUCAAAGAAGAUUAGAUACCUUUGUAGUUCUGACCGUAAACGAUACCGGCCAGCGAUCCGGUUGCGUACUCCCUUUACGUGACGCACCGGGCAGCUUGCCCGGGAAACCUGAGUUCAGGCUCC